rnacentral:rRNA from 1 species
GGGGAGGAGCCCAGAGCCUGAAUCAGCAUAUGUGUUAGUGGAAGCGUCUGGAAAGGCGCGCGAUACAGGGUGACAGCCCCGUACACAAAAGCGCAUGUGCUGUGAGCUCGAUGAGUAGGGCGGGACACGUGGUAUCCUGUCUGAAUAUGGGGGGACCAUCCUCCAAGGCUAAAUACUCCUGACUGACCGAUAGUGAACCAGUACCGUGAGGGAAAGGCGAAAAGAACCCCGGCGAGGGGAGUGAAAAAGAACCUGAAACCGUGUACGUACAAGCAGUGGGAGCCCCACCACUAAGCCAGUGGUGAACUCCACAUACGCAUCCUUUGCUGAGGAUACGGUUAACGGAGCGAAAGCGACGUUCAACCUCAAAAGAAGCAGAGGGGGCUUAGUGGUGGGGUGACUGCGUACCUUUUGUAUAAUGGGUCAGCGACUUAUAUUCUGUAGCAAGGUUAACCGUAUAGGGGAGCCGGAGGGAAACCGAGUCUUAACCGGGCGUUAAGUUGCAGGGUAUAGACCCGAAACCCGGUGAUCUAGCCAUGGGCAGGUUGAAGGUUGGGUAACACUAACUGGAGGACCGAACCGACUAAUGUUGAAAAAUUAGCGGAUGACCUGUGGCUGGGGGUGAAAGGCCAAUCAAACCGGGAGAUAGCUGGUUCUCCCCGAAAGCUAUUUAGGUAGCGCCUCGUGAACUCAUCUCCGGGGGUAGAGCACUGUUUCGGCUAGGGGGCCAUCCCGGCUUACCAACCCGAUGCAAACUGCGAAUACCGGAGAAUGUUAUCACGGGAGACACACGGCGGGUGCUAACGUCCGUCGUGAAGAGGGAAACAACCCAGACCGCCAGCUAAGGUCCCAAAGUCAUGGUUAAGUGGGAAACGAUGUGGGAAGGCCCAGACAGCCAGGAUGUUGGCUUAGAAGCAGCCAUCAUUUAAAGAAAGCGUAAUAGCUCACUGGUCGAGUCGGCCUGCGCGGAAGAUGUAACGGGGCUAAACCAUGCACCGAAGCUGCGGCAGCGACAUUUAGGUGUUGUUGGGUAGGGGAGCGUUCUGUAAGCCUGUGAAGGUGGCCUGUGAGGGUUGCUGGAGGUAUCAGAAGUGCGAAUGCUGACAUAAGUAACGAUAAAGCGGGUGAAAAGCCCGCUCGCCGGAAGACCAAGGGUUCCUGUCCAACGUUAAUCGGGGCAGGGUGAGUCGACCCCUAAGGCGAGGCCGAAAGGCGUAGUCGAUGGGAAACGGGUUAAUAUUCCCGUACUUGGUGUUACUGCGAAGGGGGGACGGAGAAGGCUAUGUUGGCCGGGCGACGGUUGUCCCGGUUUAAGCGUGUAGGUGUGUGUUCCAGGUAAAUCCGGUUCACUUUAACACUGAGGCGUGAUGACGAGGCACUACGGUGCUGAAGCAACAAAUGCCCUGCUUCCAGGAAAAGCCUCUAAGCAUCAGGUAACAUCAAAUCGUACCCCAAACCGACACAGGUGGUCAGGUAGAGAAUACCAAGGCGCUUGAGAGAACUCGGGUGAAGGAACUAGGCAAAAUGGUGCCGUAACUUCGGGAGAAGGCACGCUGACACGUAGGUGAAGUGAUUUACUCAUGGAGCUGAAGUCAGUCGAAGAUACCAGCUGGCUGCAACUGUUUAUUAAAAACACAGCACUGUGCAAACACGAAAGUGGACGUAUACGGUGUGACGCCUGCCCGGUGCCGGAAGGUUAAUUGAUGGGGUCAGCGCAAGCGAAGCUCCUGAUCGAAGCCCCGGUAAACGGCGGCCGUAACUAUAACGGUCCUAAGGUAGCGAAAUUCCUUGUCGGGUAAGUUCCGACCUGCACGAAUGGCGUAAUGAUGGCCAGGCUGUCUCCACCCGAGACUCAGUGAAAUUGAACUCGCUGUGAAGAUGCAGUGUACCCGCGGCAAGACGGAAAGACCCCGUGAACCUUUACUAUAGCUUGACACUGAACAUUGAGCCUUGAUGUGUAG